GGAAAUGUGCCCGAAGCCUUAGGGGUCACUAUGAUAAAGUGAACAUAGAGGUACUCAACCCUCUCAUUUCCU
rnacentral:tRNA from 1 species